AUAUUACUGAGUGAGGGCCUUCGGGCUCGACCUCCAACCCUUUGUGAACACAACUUGUUGCUUCGGGGGCGACCCUGCCGUUUCGACGGCGAGCGCCCCCGGAGGCCUUCAAACACUGCAUCUUUGCGUCGGAGUUUAAGUAAAUUAAACAAAACUUUCAACAACGGAUCUCUUGGUUCUGGCAUCGAUGAAGAACGCAGCGAAAUGCGAUAAGUAAUGUGAAUUGCAGAAUUCAGUGAAUCAUCGAAUCUUUGAACGCACAUUGCGCCCCUUGGUAUUCCGAGGGGCAUGCCUGUUCGAGCGUCAUUUCACCACUCAAGCCUCGCUUGGUAUUGGGCGCCGCGGUGUUCCGCGCGCCUCAAAGUCUCCGGCUGAGCUGUCCGUCUCUAAGCGUUGUGAUUUCAUUAAUCGCUUCGGAGCGCGGGCGGUCGCGGCCGUUAAAUCUUUUAUAAGGUUGACCUCGGAUCAGGUAGGGAUACCCGCUGAACUUAAGCAUAUC
rnacentral:sRNA from 1 species